rnacentral:rRNA from 1 species
GACGAACGCUGGCGGCGUGCUUAACACAUGCAAGUCGAACGGAAAGGCCCUGCUUUUGUGGGGUGCUCGAGUGGCGAACGGGUGAGUAACACGUGAGUAACCUGCCCUUGACUUUGGGAUAACUUCAGGAAACUGGGGCUAAUACCGGAUAGGAGCUCCUGCUGCAUGGUGGGGGUUGGAAAGUUUCGGCGGUUGGGGAUGGACUCGCGGCUUAUGAGCUUGUUGGUGGGGUAGUGGCUUACCACGGCUUUGACGGGUAGCCGGCCUGAGAGGGUGACCGGCCACCUUGGGACUGCGAUACGGCCCAGACUCCUACGGGAGGCAGCGGUGGGGAAUAUUGCACAAUGGGCGGAAGCCUGAUGCAGCAACGCCGCGUGCGGGAUGACGGCCUUCGGGUUGUAAACCGCUUUCGCCUGUGACGAAGCGUGAGUGACGGUAAUGGGUAAAGAAGCACCGGCUAACUACGUG